CCCGGAGUAGAAGGCAGCAGUUUAUUUACGCAGGGGCAAAGGAAACGAUUGGUUGUUGCGGCGCGGGGUUUGACAGGAGAAGCACGAGGACGGAACUGACAGAGGGGAAAGUUAAAAAUAAAGAUGAGCAGCAAUGUAGCCAGUCCUGUAUCUAGUGGUGCCGCUUCCAGCAGUGCAAGAGGAGCUGGAAAGCCCAUAAGCUUUGCAUCUGAACUGCAGACUAUGAUUGGGAAUCUGCUGUCUGCGGUAGUUAGUGGUAACUACUACUGGGGAAAUAAAGCAAAGGUACAAUGUUUAAAUCUAAUACUUUAUUUGUGCUUUUCAUGAAAACAUUGAAAUGUUGGACUGAAUGGCU